rfam:Sus scrofa breed Duroc isolate TJ Tabasco Contig1660_1, whole genome shotgun sequence.
UCCCUGGUGGUCUAGGGGUUAGGAUUCAGCACUUUCAUGGAUGAGGCCCUGGUUCAAUCCCUGGUCAGGGGA